AGCCUGAUGCAGCGACGCCGCGUGAGGGAUGACGGCCUUCGGGUUGUAAACCUCUUUCGCUAGGGACGAAGCGUAAGUGACGGUACCUGGAGAAGAAGCACCGGCCAACUACGUGCCAGCAGCCGCGGUAAUACGUAGGGUGCGAGCGUUGUCCGGAAUUACUGGGCGUAAAGAGCUCGUAGGCGGUUUGUCGCGUCGUCUGUGAAAUUCUGCAACUCAAUUGCAGGCGUGCAGGCGAUACGGGCAGACUUGAGUACUACAGGGGAGACUGGAAUUCCUGGUGUAGCGGUGAAAUGCGCAGAUAUCAGGAGGAACACCGGUGGCGAAGGCGGGUCUCUGGGUAGUAACUGACGCUGAGGAGCGAAAGCGUGGGGAGCGAACAGGAUUAGAUACCCUGGUAGUCCACGCCGUAAACGGUGGGUGGGAGGUGUGGGGCUCAUUUCACGAGUUCCGUGCCGUAGCUAACGCAUUAAGUACCCCGCCUGGG
rnacentral:rRNA from 2 species